rnacentral:rRNA from 1 species
UACGUAGGGGGCAAGCGUUGUCCGGAAUCAUUGGGCGUAAAGAGCGUGUAGGCGGCUAGGUAGGUGGGUUGUGAAAACUGGAGGCUCAACCUUCAGACGUCGACCCAAACCCCCUGGCUAGAGUCCGGAAGAGGAGAGUGGAAUUCCUGGUGUAGCGGUGAAAUGCGCAGAUAUCAGGAAGAACACCCGUGGCGAAGGCGGCUCUCUGGGACGGUACUGACGCUGAGACGCGAAAGCGUGGGGAGCGAACAGG